UUGUUUCAAUUGUUAAUUUAUUUGCGCUUCAAACUUUCAAGCUUUCGCAUCAAUACAUUCAAUUCUUAAAUAUAGGAAAACAGUAAACCUAUGAUACCAACUAUUGUUAGCAAGAACAACAGAUGUCUGACUCAUAUUGAAUUUUCAAUAUAGUUGCUUAUUUUCCACGUCACUUUGUGGAACAGUUCACGUGCUGAUAUCCAAGGCUAGCAGACUCUGACUCACUUAUCUCGGAGAAAAACGGCGGGAAUUGACAUUUUUGAUCUGAAAAACAGACUGUUUAAUUUUAAAUUUACCGGAAGUUGUUGAAAGAAUCGUGAUAUUAUUUCAAAUUAGUUUCAUCAACUUCUCACCAGAAUGAGUUUAUCUUAUUUUUCUUGGAAAUCGGGUUUGUCGUUGGUUUUGAUCACAUGUUUGUUGGUGUGUUCCUCUGUGGCUGAAAAGAAGAAAGCGACCAAGGAGGCAAAAAAGCAGCCCAGUGAAGACAGAAGUCACUUCAAGGAGUGCAAAACUAACUCUGAUUGUCCAUCGAUAGCCGAAUGUAUGCGAGAGCAGAUGUUCGAGGUGGAUCCGAAGAUGCGCUGCUUCCCCAAGAGGUGUGAGAGGAAUCAAGAUUGUCCCAUUCCCAUGAUGUGCAAACUGGACAAGAAUCAGUGCGACUUCGAUCUUCCGGAAGAUCUACUCAAAAAAAUGGAGCUUUGAUUAUUCUUAUUUAAAACUGUUUUUGGCUCUUUUCCAGUUUCCCAUUUUCCUGGUAAAAUUGUGUACUGAAGUUGUUUGAAAAUGGUUCAUACACGGCAACUUUUAGGUACAAAAUGUGGUAAACAUAUGUGCGCUUGUUCAAACGCUUUCUGGCAGUUAAGAGCAUCAAAAGACUGAACACAGUAGCGGAUUUAUGUGGGGUGGGCGGGGGUACGGGUAUUGGCGGACGCUUUUUUUCACGGAUUCGACCCCCUGCCCACCCAAAGGUCCCCCUUUGUACUAUUUUGAGAUAUUCAUUUCUGGCUGACUGACCUUAAUUUUUGGCCAAAACAGGGUCUUUAUAGUGGUUUGGGAGAAGCUCAGAAAAUCGAUUUGGUCAACCUAAAAAAAAGGUCGACAAAAUUUUCAAAGAUUUUUUUUAAAAACCGCCCCCCCCCCCGGUUCCUGGGUUCGCGCUUGACUGAACAUGUAAAUAGGUGGUUGUAAAAUGUAAGAUCUGUAGUCAUAAGUGGGAAACUAGAAAAACCAAUUGUUUCUGUAAAUAUAUAUGGAUAGGGCUGACAUAAGUUUAAUAAGAUUCAAUUCUCAUGUUCUAAUGAGGCUCUCCUGUGUUAAUUAAAUUUUUGCCAUUUCA